rnacentral:tRNA from 1 species
GGUCGUGGCCAAGUGGUUAAGGCGAUGAACUAGAAAUCUUUUGGGAUCUUCCCGCGCAGGUUCGAUUCCUGCCGACAUCG